GCCUACGGGAGGCAGCAGUGAGGAAUAUUGGUCAAUGGCCGGAAGGCUGAACCAGCCAAGCCGCGUGAGGGACGAAGGUGCCAAGCAUUGUAAACUUCUUUUGUCAAGGGACAAAAUCAGGCUCGAGAGCCUGACCGAGGGUACUUGAAGAAAAAGCAUCGGCUAACUACGUGCCAGCAGCCGAUGUAAUACGGAGGAUGCGAGCGUUAUCCGGAUUUAUUGGGUUUAAAGGGUGCGUAGGCGGGCUGUUAAGUCAGCGGUAAAAGACAGGGGCUAAACGGGGGGGAGACGUAGAAACUGGGUGG
rnacentral:rRNA from 1 species